AGAGGAGGAGGAGAGAGGGAAGAGAAAAGACGAGCGCGAGAGGGAUAGAGAGCGCGCGCGUUCCCUCCCGAGUCCCCGAGCUGCCGGAGGAGUCUGGAUUGUGUCCCCAGUGUCAGAUGAAAGGGCGCUGAGGCUCGCGGCCGCCGUCCCGCGCCCCGCGUUGCGCACGCCCCUCUGCGAGCCCGGCCGCCGAGCAUCUCUCCGCGCCGGGGCCGAAGCCAGCGCUGCGGGCCGGCCGCUCCGUCUCCAGCGCAAUGUGGCCGCGCCUGGCCUUUUGUUGCUGGGGUCUGGCGCUCGUUUCGGGCUGGGCGACCUUUCAGCAGAUGUCCCCGUCGCGCAAUUUCAGCUUCCGCCUCUUCCCCGAGGCCGCGCCCGGGGCUCCGGGGAGGCUGCCCUCGCCGCCCGCGCCCGGCGAGGACGCGGCGGAGAGCAAAGUGGAGCGACUGGGCCAGGCGUUCCGGCGACGCGUGCGGCGGCUGCGGGAGCUCAGCGAGCGCCUGGAGCUGGUCUUCCUGGUGGACGAGUCGUCCAGCGUGGGCCAAGCCAACUUCCUCAGCGAGCUCAAGUUCGUCCGCAAGCUGCUGUCCGACUUCCCCGUGGUGCCCACGGCCACACGCGUGGCCAUCGUGACCUUCUCGUCCAAGAACAACGUGGUGCCGCGCGUCGAUUACAUCUCCUCCCGCCGCGCCCACCAGCACAAGUGCGCGCUGCUCAGCCAAGAGAUCCCGGCCAUCACCUACCGCGGCGGCGGCACCUACACCAAGGGCGCCUUCCAGCAAGCCGCGCAAAUUCUUCGCCAUUCUAGAGAAAACUCAACAAAAGUUAUAUUUCUCAUUACUGAUGGAUAUUCCAAUGGGGGAGAUCCUAGACCAGUUGCCGCCUCGCUGCGAGAUUUUGGAGUGGAGAUCUUCACUUUUGGCAUAUGGCAAGGAAACAUUCGAGAACUGAAUGACAUGGCUUCCACCCCAAAGGAGGAACACUGCUACCUGCUCCACAGUUUUGAAGAAUUUGAGGCUUUAGCUCGCCGGGCAUUACAUGAAGAUCUGCCUUCUGGGAGUUUUAUUCAAGAGGAUAUGUCCCAUUGCUCAUAUCUGUGUGAAGCCGGCAAAGACUGCUGUGACCGAAUGGCAAGCUGCAAAUGUGGGACACACACGGGUCAAUUUGAGUGCAUCUGUGAAAAGGGGUAUUAUGGGAAAGGUCUACAGUAUGAAUGCACAGCUUGCCCAUCAGGGACAUACAAAUCAGAAGGUUCGCCAGGAGGAAUCAGCACUUGUCUUCCAUGUCCUGAUGAAAAUCACACCUCUCGACCUGGAAGUACGUCCCCUGAAGACUGUGUCUGCAAGCAGGGAUAUCGAGCAUCCGGCCAGACGUGUGAAGUUGUUCACUGCCCUGCCCUGAAGCCUCCUGAAAACGGUUAUUUUAUCCAAAACACUUGCAACAACCACUUUAAUGCAGCCUGUGGAGUCCGAUGUCACCCUGGAUUUGACCUCGUGGGAAGCAGCAUCCUCUUGUGUCUACCCAAUGGUUUGUGGUCUGGUUCAGAGAGCUCCUGCAGAGUAAGAACAUGCCCUCGUCUCCGCCAACCCAAACAUGGUCGCAUAAGCUGUUCUGCAGGGGAAAUGUCCUACAAGACCACAUGUUUGGUUACCUGUGAUGAAGGGUACAGACUAGAAGGAAGUGCUAAGCUUACUUGUCAAGGAAAUGCCCAGUGGGAUGGUCUAGAACCCCGGUGUGUGGAGCGCCACUGUUCCACCUUUCAGAAGCCCAAAGGUGUCAUCAUAUCCCCCCCCAACUGUGGCAAGCAGCCAGCCAAACCUGGGAUGGUUUGUCAGCUAAGUUGCCGCCAAGGAUUCAUUUUGUCUGGAGUCAGAGACGAAGUGAGAUGUACCACCUCUGGAAAAUGGAGUGCCAGAGUUCAGACAGCUGUUUGUAAAGAUGUGGAGGCUCCUCAAAUCAGCUGUCCUAAGGACAUAGAGGCUAAGACUCAGGAACAGCAAGACUCUGCUAAUAUCACCUGGCAAAUUCCAACAGCUAAAGACAACUCUGGGGAAAAGGUGUCAAUCCACGUUCAUCCAGCUUUCACUCCACCUUACCUUUUCCCCAUUGGAGAUGUUGCUAUCACAUACACAGCAACUGACCUGUCCAGUAACCAAGCCAGCUGCACUUUCCAUAUCAAAGUUAUUGAUGUGGAACCACCCAGCAUAGACUGGUGCAGAUCCCCGCCUCCAAUCCAGGUCUCAGAGAAGGAGCAUGCUGUAACCUGGGAUGAGCCUCAGUUCUCAGACAACUCAGGGGCUGUAUUGGUCAUCACCAGAAGUCAUACACCAGGAGACCUUUUCCCUCACGGGGAGACUGUAGUGCGCUAUACAGCCACUGACCCCUCAGGCAAUUACAGAACAUGUGACAUCCACAUUGUCAUAAAAGGUUCUCCCUGUGAAGUUCCAUUCACACCUGUAAAUGGGGAUUUUGUAUGCACUCAGGAUAGUGCUGGAGUUAACUGCACAUUAAGUUGCUUGGAGGGCUAUGAUUUCACAGAAGGGUCUACUGAGAAGUAUUAUUGUGCUUAUGAAGAUGGCAUCUGGAAACCACCAUAUUCCACUGAAUGGCCAGACUGUGCUAUAAAACGUUUUGCAAAUCAUGGUUUCAAGUCCUUUGAGAUGUUGUACAAAGCAACUCGUUGUGAUGACACAGAUCUGUUGAAGAAGUUUUCUGAAGCAUUUGAGACUACCCUGGGGAAAAUGGUCCCAUCAUUUUGUAGUGAUGCUGAUGACAUUGACUGCAGACUGGAGGACCUGACCAAAAAAUAUUGCCUCGAAUAUAAUUAUGAAUAUGAAAAUGGCUUUGCAAUUGGACCGGGUGGUUGGGGCACAGCUAACAGACUGGAUUACUCUUACGAUGACUUCUUGGAUGCUGUGCGAGAAACACCCACGGGCGCUGGCAAAGCCAGAUCUUCACGGAGCAAAAGAAAUGCCCCGUUAUCUGACCACAAAAUCAAGUUAAUUUUUAACAUCACAGCUAGUGUGCCAUUACCCGAGGAAAGAAAUGAUACCCUUGAAUUGGAAAAUCAGCAACGACUCAUUAAGACACUGGAAACUAUCACAAAUCGACUAAAAAGGACCCUCAAUAAGGAGCCCAUGUAUUCCUUUCAGCUUGCAUCUGAAAUGCUUGUAGCCGACAGCAAUUCCUUAGAAACGGAAAAGGCUUUCCUCUUUUGCAGACCAGGCUCAGUGCUGAGAGGGCGUAUGUGUGUCAAUUGCCCUUUGGGAACCUCUUAUUCCCUGGAGCAUUCUGUCUGUGAAAGCUGCUUGAUGGGAUCCUAUCAAGAUGAAGAAGGGCAACUCGAGUGCAAACUCUGUCCGCCUGGGACUUACACGGAGUAUCUCCAUUCAAGAAGCAGCUCUGAGUGUAAAGCUCAGUGUAAACAAGGCACCUACUCAUCAAAUGGUCUUGAAACCUGUGAAUCGUGUCCGCUGGGUAGUUAUCAGCCAGCAUUUGGUUCCCGGAGCUGCCUCUUCUGCCCAGAAAACACUUCAACUGUGAAAAGAGGAGCCGUGGACAUUGCUGCUUGUGGAGUACCUUGUCCAGUGGGAGAAUUUUCUCGUUCUGGGUUAAUGCCCUGUUAUCCUUGUCCUCAAGACUACUACCAACCCAAUCCAGGGAAAUCCUUCUGCUUAUCAUGUCCCUUUUAUGGAACUACAACCAUCACUGGUGCCAGAUCCAUCACAGAUUGUUCCAGUUUUAGUUCAACUUUCUCAGCAGCAGAGGAAAGUAUAGUGCCACUUGCUUCUACUGGGAAUAUCAAAAAGAAGUAUGAAGUCAGCAGUCAGGUUUUCCAUGAAUGUUUCUUAAACCCCUGCCACAAUAGUGGAACCUGCCAACAACUGGGGCGUGGUUACGUUUGUCUCUGUCCACGUGGAUAUACAGGCUUAAAGUGUGAGAUAGACAUUGAUGAAUGCAGCUCACUGCCGUGCCUGAACAGUGGAAUUUGUAAAGAUGGAGUUGGGGAAUUCGUUUGUGAAUGCCCAUCGGGUUACACAGGUCAACUAUGUGAAGAAAAUAUAAAUGAGUGUAGCUCCAGUCCUUGUUUAAAUAAAGGAACCUGCAUCGAUGGCCUGGCGGGCUAUCGCUGCACCUGUGUGAAAGGAUAUGCAGGCCUGCACUGUGAAACAGAAGUCAAUGAAUGCCAGUCAAGUCCAUGCUUAAAUAAUGCAGUCUGUGAAGACCAGGUUGGGGGAUUCUUGUGCAAAUGCCCACCUGGAUUUUUGGGUACCCGGUGUGAAAAAAACGUGGAUGAGUGUCUCAGUCAACCAUGUAGAAAUGGAGCUACCUGUAAAGAUGGUGCCAAUAGCUUCAGGUGCCAGUGUGCAGCAGGCUUCACAGGGCCACGCUGUGAACUGAACAUCAACGAAUGUCAGUCUAACCCGUGUAGAAAUCAGGCCACCUGUGUGGAUGAGUUAAACUCAUACAGUUGUAAAUGUCGGCCAGGAUUUUCAGGCAGCAGAUGUGAAACAGAACAGUCUACGGGUUUUAACCUGGAUUUUGAAGUUUCUGGUAUCUAUGGUUACGUCAUGCUAGAUGGUGUGCUUCCAUCUCUCCGUGCUGUGACCUGCACAUUCUGGAUGAAAUCCUCUGACACCACCAACUAUGGAACACCAAUCUCCUAUGCACUUGAGAAGGGCAGCGACAAUACCUUCCUCCUGACUGAUUAUAAUGGCUGGGUUCUUUACGUGAAUGGCAAGGAAAAGAUAACAGACUGUCCAGCCGUGAAUGAUGGAAGCUGGCAUCAUAUUGCAAUCACUUGGACAAGUGCUGAUGGAGCCUGGAAAGUCUAUAUCGAUGGGAAAUUAUCUGACGGCGGUGUGGGCCUUUCUGUUGGUUCGGCCAUACCUGGUGGUGGAGCAUUAGUUCUUGGGCAAGAACAAGACAAAAAAGGAGAGGGAUUCAACCCAGCUGAGUCUUUUGUGGGCUCCAUAAGCCAGCUCAACCUCUGGGACUAUGUCCUGUCUCCACAGCAGGUGAAAUCGCUGGCUACCUCAUGCCCAGAGGAACUUAAUAAAGGAAAUGUGUUAGCCUGGCCUGAUUUCCUGUCGGGAAUUGUGGGGAAAGUGAAGAUCGAUUCCAAGAGCAUAUUCUGUUCUGAUUGCCCACCUUUAGAAGGAUCGGUACCUCAUCUCCGAACUGCAUCAGCAAACUUAAAACCAGGCUCCAAAAUCAGUCUAUUCUGUGAUCCAGGCUUCCAGAUGGUCGGGAACCCUGUGCAGUACUGUCUGAAUCAAGGACAGUGGACACAACCGCUCCCUCACUGUGAACGCAUUAGCUGUGGGGUGCCACCCCCUUUGGAGAAUGGCUUUUAUUCAGCUGAGGACUUCCAUGCUGGCAGCACAGUGACCUACCAGUGCAACAAUGGCUACUAUUUGUUGGGUGAUUCAAGGAUGUUCUGUACAGAUAAUGGGAGCUGGAAUGGCAUUUCACCAUCGUGCCUUGAUGUUGACGAAUGUGCUGUUGGGUCAGAUUGUAGCGAGCAUGCUUCCUGCUUGAAUACAAAUGGAUCCUAUGUUUGCUCAUGUAUCCCACCCUACACAGGAGAUGGGAAAAACUGUGCAGAACCUGUAAAAUGUAAGCCUCCAGGAAAUCCAGAAAACGGCCACUCUUCUGGUGAGAUUUAUACAGUGGGUGCUGAAGUCACAUUUUCAUGUGAAGAAGGACACCAGCUGAUGGGAGAAACCAAAAUCACAUGUUUAGAGUCUGGAGAAUGGAGUCAUCUGAUGCCAUAUUGUGAAGCUGUUUCCUGUGGUGCACCAGCUUUUCCAGAAAAUGGUGGCAUUGAUGGAUCAACAUUUACCUAUGGCAGUAAAGUAGUAUAUAGGUGUGAUAAAGGAUAUACUCUGGAUGGUGAUAAAGAGUCAUCCUGUCUUGCCAGUGGUUCUUGGAGCCACUCUCCUCCUGUGUGUGAACUAGUCAAGUGUUCUAGCCCCGAAAACAUAAAUAAUGGGAAAUAUAUUUUGAGUGGGCUUACAUACCUUUCUACUGCAUCGUAUUCGUGUGAGAGUGGAUACAGCUUACAGGGCCCUUCCGUCAUUGAAUGCUCGGCGUCAGGCAGCUGGGACAGAGCGCCACCUACCUGUCAUCUUGUCUUCUGUGGAGAGCCGCCAGCCAUCAAAGAUGCUGUCAUCACCGGGAGUAACUUCACUUUUGGGAACACUGUUACUUACACUUGCAAAGAAGGCUACACCCUUGCUGGUCCUGACACCAUUGAAUGCCUGGCCAGUGGCGAGUGGAGUGGAAGUAACCAGCAGUGUCUGGCCGUCUCCUGUGAUGAGCCCCCCAACGUGGAACAUGCCUCUCCAGAGACCGCCCAUCGGUUAUUUGGAGACAUUGCAUUCUACUACUGCUCAGAUGGUUACAGCCUGGCAGACAAUUCCCAGCUCAUCUGCAAUGCCCAGGGCAAGUGGGUUCCCCCAGAAGGUCAGGCCGUGCCCCGUUGUAUAGCUCAUUUCUGUGAAAAACCUCCAUCUGUUUCCUACAGCAUCUUAGAAUCUGUGAGCAAAGCCAAAUUUGCAGCAGGCUCAGUUGUAAGCUUCAAAUGCAUGGAAGGUUUUGUACUGAACACCUCAGCCAAGAUAGAAUGUAUGAGAGGUGGGCAGUGGAACCCUUCCCCCUUGUCCAUCCAGUGCAUCCCCGUGCGCUGUGGAGAGCCACCAAGCAUCAUGAAUGGCUAUGCAAGUGGAUCAAACUACAGUUUUGGGGCCAUGGUAGCUUAUAGCUGCAACAAAGGGUUCUACGUCAAAGGAGAGAAGAAGAGUACCUGCGAAGCCACAGGACAGUGGAGUAGCCCCACACCCACAUGCCACCCUGUAUCUUGCAAUGAACCACCUAAGGUAGAGAAUGCCUUUCUGGAGCACGCAACUGGCAGGAUCUUUGAGAGUGAAGUGAGGUAUCAGUGUAAUCCAGGCUAUAAGUCAGUUGGAAGUCCUGUAUUUGUCUGCCAAGCCAAUCGCCACUGGCACAGUGAAUCUCCUCUGUCAUGCAUCCCUCUCAACUGUGGAAAACCUCCUCCAAUCCAGAAUGGCUACAUGAAAGGAGAAAAUUUUGAAGUAGGGUCCAAGGUUCAGUUUUUCUGUAAUGAGGGUUAUGAGCUUGUUGGCGACAAUUCUUGGACAUGCCAGAAAUCUGGCAAAUGGAAUAAGAAGCCAAACCAAAAGUGUGUGCCCACCAAGUGCCCAGAGCCACCCCUCCUGGAAAACCAGCUCGUGUUGAAGGAGUUGACUACUGAGGUAGGAGUGGUGAUGUUUUCCUGUAAAGAAGGGCAUGCUCUACAGGGCCCCUCUGUCCUGAAAUGUUUGCCAUCCCAGCAAUGGAAUGAUUCAUUUCCUAUUUGUAAGAUGGUUCUGUGUCUCCCACCUCCCCUGAUUUCCUUUGGUGUUCCUGCUCCUUCUUCUGCUCUUCAUUUUGGAAGUACUGUCAAGUAUUCUUGUGUGGAUGGGUUUUUCCUAAGAGGAGAUCCUACCACUUUCUGCCAAGCUGAUGGUACCUGGAGCUCUCCACUGCCAGAAUGUGUUCCAGUAGAAUGCCCCCAACCUGAAGAAAUCCUCAAUGGCAUCAUUGAUGUGCAAGGUCUUGCUUAUCUCAGCACAGCUCUCUAUACCUGCAAGCCAGGCUUUGAGUUGGUGGGAAAUACUACCACCCUUUGUGGAGAAAAUGGUCACUGGCUUGGAGGAAAACCAACAUGUAAACCCAUUGAGUGCCCAAAGCCCAAGAAGAUUUUGAAUGGCAAAUUCACUUACACAAACCUACACUAUGGGCAAACCAUUACAUACUCUUGUGACCGAGGCUUUAGGCUUGAAGGUCCCAAAGCCUUGACUUGUUUGGAGACAGGUAAUUGGGAUGUGGAUGUCCCAUCUUGCAACGCCAUCCAUUGUAAUCCUCCACAACCCAUUGAAAAUGGUUUUGUAGAAGGUGCAGAUUACAGCUAUGGUGCCAUGAUCAUCUACAGCUGCAUCCCUGGAUUCCAGGUAGCUGGUCAUGCCAUGCAGACCUGUGAAGAGUCAGGAUGGUCCAGCUCCAUCCCAACUUGUGUACCCAUAGACUGUGGGCUCCCUCCUCACAUUGAUUUUGGAGACUGUACUAAGGUCAAAGACGGUCAGGGAUAUUUUGACCAGGAAGAAGAUGUGAUGGAAGUUCCAUAUGUGACUCCUCACCCUCCUCGUCAUCUGGGAGCAGUGGCUAAAACCUGGAAAAACACAAAGGGAUCUCCUGCUACACAUUCAGCAAACUUUCUAUAUGGCACCAUGGUUUCAUACACCUGUAAUCCAGGAUAUGAACUUUUGGGAAACCCUGUACUGAUCUGCCAGGAAGAUGGAACAUGGAAUGGCAGUGCACCAUCUUGCAUUUCAAUUGAAUGUGACUUGCCUGUUGCUCCUGAAAAUGGCUUUUUGCAUUUUACAGAGACUACCAUGGGCAGCGCUGCACAAUAUAGCUGCAAACCGGGACACAUUCUGGUGGGCUCUGACAUAAGACUUUGUCUCCAAAACAGAGAGUGGAGUGGUACUUCUCCACGCUGUGAGGCCAUUUCAUGCAAAAAACCAAAUCCGGUUAUGAAUGGCUCCAUCAAAGGAAGUAACUACACAUACCUGAGCGUGCUGUACUAUGAGUGUAAUCCUGGGUAUGUGUUGAAUGGCACUGAGAGGAGAACAUGCCAAGGAAAUAAAAAUUGGGAUGGGGAUGAGCCAAUUUGCAUUCCUGUGGACUGUGGUUCACCCCCAAUCUCAGCCAAUGGCCAGGUGAAAGGAGAUGAGUAUACAUUCCAAAAAGAGAUUGAGUACACUUGCAAGGUAGGGUUCUUACUUGAGGGAGCCAGGAGUCGUGUUUGUCUUGCCAAUGGAACUUGGAGUGGAACCACUCCCAUCUGCGUGCCUGUCAGAUGUGCCAGCCCACCACAGGUGGCAAAUGGGGCGAUGGAUGGCCUAGACUAUGGUUUGGGGAAGGAAGUAGUGUUCCACUGUCAGGAGGGCUAUGUCUUGCAUGGUGCUCCAAAACUCACCUGUCAGUCGGAUGGGACAUGGGAUGCAGAGGUUCCUCUCUGUAAACCAGUCAACUGUGGACCCCCUGAAGAUCUUGCUCAUGGCUUCCCUAAUGGCUUUUCCUUUUCUCAUGGGGGCCAGAUACAGUAUCAAUGCUUUUCUGGUUAUAAGCUCCAUGGAAGUCCUUCAAGAAAGUGUCUCUCCAAUGGCUCCUGGAGUGGCAGCCCACCGUCCUGCCUGCCUUGCAGGUGUUCCACACCAGUAAUUCAAAAUGGAGCUGUCAAUGGGACAGAUUUUGGUUGUGGAAAGGCAGCCCAGAUUCAGUGCUUCAAGGGUUUCAAGCUCCUGGGACUUUCUGAAAUCACCUGUGAAGCCAAUGGCCAGUGGAGCUCUGGCUUCCCACGCUGUGAACACGCUUCUUGUGGUUCUCUCCCAGUGAUACCAAAUGCAUUCAUCACUGAGAGUGGCUCUUUAGAGGAAAAUGUGAUCACUUACAACUGCAGACCUGGGUAUGUCAUACAAGGCAGUUCAGAUCUGAUUUGUAUGGAGAAAGGGAUGUGGAGCCAGCCUCAUCCCGUCUGUGAGCCAGUGUCCUGUGGACCCCCACCGUCUGUUGCCAAUGCAGUGGCAACUGGAGAGGCACACACCUAUGAAAGUAAAGUGAAACUCAGGUGUCUGGAGGGUUAUAUGAUGGAUACAGAUAUAGAUACAUUCACCUGUCAGAAAGAUGGUCUUUGGUUCCCUGAGACAAUCUCCUGCAGUCCCAGAAAAUGUCCUCUGCCAGCAAACAUAACACAUCUACUCAUUCACGGGGAUGAUUUCAGUGUGAAUAAGCAAGUUUCUGUGUCAUGUGCAGAAGGGUAUACCAAUGAGGGGGUUAACACAUCAACAUGUCAGCCUGAUGGCACCUGGGAGCCACCAUUUUCUGAUGAAUCCUGCAGUCCAGUUUCUUGUGGGGAACCUGAAAGUCCAGAGCAUGGAUUUGUGGUUGGCAGUGAAUACACUUUUGAAAGCACAGUUAUUUAUCAGUGUGAACCUGGCUAUGAAUUAGAAGGAAACGGAGAACGCACCUGCCAGGAGAACAGCCAGUGGAGUGGAGGGGUAGCCACGUGCAAAAAGAGCAAGUGUGAAUCUCCACUUGGGUUUCUGAACGGGAAAGCGGAAAUCGAAAACACUACCGCAGGACCCAGCGUGGUGUAUUCCUGCAGCCGAGGCUACAGCCUUGAAGGCGCUCCUGAGGCGUACUGCACUGAAAAUGGAACUUGGAGCCAGCCAGUUCCUCUCUGCAAACCAAAUCCAUGCCCUGUCCCUUUUGUGAUCCCCGAGAACGCUCUGCUUUCUGAAAAGGAGUUUUAUGUUGAUCAGAACGUGUCGAUCAAGUGUAGGGAAGGCUUUCUACUCCAGGGCCAAGGCGUCAUUACCUGCAACCCUGAUGAGACGUGGACUCAGACAAGUGCCAAAUGUGAAAAAAUCUCAUGUGGUCCACCAACUCACGUAGAAAAUGCGAUUGCUCGAGGUGUGCAUUAUCAGUAUGGGGACAUGAUCACUUACUCGUGUUACAGUGGAUACAUGUUGGAGGGUUCCCUAAGGAGUGUUUGCCUAGAGAAUGGAACCUGGACAUCACCUCCUAUUUGCAGAGCUGUCUGUCGAUUCCCAUGUCAGAAUGGAGGUGUCUGCCAACGCCCAAAUGCUUGUUCUUGUCCAGACGGCUGGAUGGGGCGCCUCUGUGAAGAACCAAUAUGCAUUCUUCCCUGUCUGAAUGGCGGUCGCUGUGUGGCCCCUUAUCAGUGUGACUGCCCACCUGGUUGGACGGGGUCUCGCUGUCACACAGCUGUUUGCCAGUCUCCCUGCUUAAAUGGUGGAAAAUGUGUAAGACCAAACCGAUGCCAUUGUCUCUCAUCUUGGACAGGACAUGACUGUUCCAGUGAAUGUCCUCUUGUCACCUCAAGUAUUUGCCAUCUCUGCAGAGAUUAAAAAAAUAAACUGAACACCAAGGAGCAAAUUUGGAUUAUGCAAGUAUAUUUGGAAGCAUUUAAGGAAAAGGAGGACUGGGUUUUAAGCACUGCACAACCAACCAGCUCUCCCAAAAACAGGAUCAUCUCUUCCUGGUAGUCCUGGGCAUCCUGGAACUUACGCAAAGAAAUUCCAACACGGUGCUGGGUCUUGUUUUCUUUAGUAAACUUGUUAUUUUGGGUUUACCUUUCGAUUUUGUGUUAUAUUUUGUUAUUCCUUGGGACAUACUUUCUUACAUGUUUCCAUUUUUAAAUAUGCCUGUAUUUUCUAUAUAAAAAUAUAUUAAAUAGAUGCUGCUCCACUCUCACAAAAUGUACAUACUCUGCUGUCUGUUGGGAAAGUUCCCUGUACCCAUUUUUAUUCAGUUACUUAAAAUGAUUUUUCAAUUAAAAUAUAUUUUGCUACUAAAUAAUAUUUUGCUGGACAGUGCCGUUUUGCGACGUGACCAGGGAGUAAUGAAGAGGAUUAAUGAUCUUUCAUCUAUGCUACUGGAGCAAUACAGGAUCACAUGGAGUACACCAAGAAGUUACAGUGAAGAAGACCCCUUCAUUCUAGUUCCAUCUUCUUUGCAGUAUGUGUAACAAUAAAGGUUUCCUUUUAUUUAA